rnacentral:lncRNA from 1 species
UAAAAAUGUGCCUGAUCCAAAUAGGAAGCAAUAUGCAGGAUAACUUAAAGAAAAAAAGAAAAAGUGAACUCACUGUAUUGCUGGUCACUUCCAUGUGGGAAUAAACCGUUCAACAUGGAGUAGUAUAGGUACCUUUUUAAUGCUGAAAUGGGCAUGCUAAUUGUGAACUAUGCGGUCAGAAGCUCCUUCUAAAAUAUUCAGUAACUUAUUUACUGGAAUUUAACAAGCUGUGUACUUCAAAGCUUCUUUCACCUCUAAUUAAGUGCAUAAACUCUGUGAAUCGUAUUGGCAACUUGAGAUUUGGCACAGCAGCAGCAGUGCUGAAGCAGCCCCCACCGCUAGGAAAGGUACAAACACAGGCAAGUGACCUGUGAUGGGCUGAGAGACCUCGCUUACCAGGAUUUGCUCACGGUUAUGCUUCUGGCAACUGACAUUUCCAUUUUACUCAAAGCUUCUACCUUUGUGUCAUCAGACAAAGCCCCAUGAGUGGUGGCAGAGCAAACUGUAGCCUUCAUUCUCAAGUUUGAAGAGGAAAAGUUAUUUACAUGCCUAAAUCGCAGAACAUGAUGUUCAAAGGUCACUUUCUGUUACUCAUUGUUAUAAACCACUAAGUUUUCCAAAAGCUCUAUAAGGAAAAGGCACAUAGUUUGGGCAGAAACAUGUAAUUGGUUGUUUUCUUCUUUUAUUUUCUUUUCUUAUUGUAUGAUCUGAUUUUUGUACUACCAGAGGAAUGUCGAAGAUGAGAUGUUUCUGUCGUUCCGUACCAUGAACAAUUGCUUAAAG